UACGUAGGGCGCAAGCGUUAUCCGGAAUUAUUGGGCGUAAAGAGCUCGUAGGCGGUUUGUCGCGUCUGCCGUGAAAGUCCGGGGCUCAACUCCGGAUCUGCGGUGGGUACGGGCAGACUAGAGUAAUGUAGGGGAGACUGGAAUUCCUGGUGUAGCGGUGAAAUGCGCAGAUAUCAGGAGGAACACCGGUGGCGAAGGCGGGUCUCUGGGCCGUAACUAACGCUGAGGAGCGAAAGCAUGGGGAGCGAACAGG
rnacentral:rRNA from 1 species